UACGUAGGGGGCAAGCGUUGUUCGGAUUCAUUGGGCGUAAAGGGUGCGUAGGUGGCGCCGUAAGUCGGGUGUGAAAUUUCGGAGCUUAACUCCGAAACUGCAUUCGAUACUGCGGUGCUUGAGGACUGGAGAGGAGACUGGAAUUCAUGGUGUAGCAGUGAAAUGCGUAGAGAUCAUGAGGAAGACCAGUGGCGAAGGCGGGUCUCUGGACAGUUCCUGACACUGAGGCACGAAGGCCAGGGGAGCAAACGGG
rnacentral:rRNA from 1 species